AUUGAACGCUGGCGGCAGGCCUAACACAUGCAAGUCGAACGAACCCUUCGGGGUUAGUGGCGGACGGGUGAGCAACACGUGGGAACGUGCCUUUAGGUUCGGAAUAACUCAGGGAAACUUGUGCUAAUACCGAAUGUGCCCUUCGGGGGAAAGAUUUAUCGCCUUUAGAGCGGCCCGCGUCUGAUUAGCUAGUUGGUGAGGUAAUGGCUCACCAAGGCUACGAUCAGUAGCUGGUCUGAGAGGAUGACCAGCCACAUUGGGACUGAGACACGGCCCAAACUCCUACGGGAGGCAGCAGUGGGGAAUCUUGCGCAAUGGGCGAAAGCCUGACGCAGCCAUGCCGCGUGGAUGAAGGUCUUAGGAUUGUAAAAUCCUUUCACCGGUGAAGAUAAUGACUGUAGCCGGAGAAGAAGCCCCGGCUAACUUCGUGCCAGCCGCCGCCGUAAAAC
rnacentral:rRNA from 1 species